AUGACUUGAGAAAUCAAACCCACCAAGAUCACUCCAAGAACUGCACUCUUUCCCCAGUCAGAUGGUGAAGAAAUCAAGGCAUUCGUAAUCGCAACUACCACGAGGCCCAUAAGUCCAAGUUGAGUUGACAGACCCUUGCACCAGCUUCAUCAAGCUCUUUGAGGGCAUUUUCACCAAUUUGGUCAAUUUCAGCAUUGGCAUCUUCAGCAAAUUGGGAUAGAUAAGAAGAUCUUUCGUCUAAAUAAUCGGUAAGACGAACUUUCUGUGUUUGAAGCUGGGCAAUCCUUGCAAGCAGUUCUUGCUGACGGGCAUCUCCUUGAGGCGGAGGUGGAGGAGCGUCCGAAUCUGAAUCUGAAUCAUUCGGUUUGGAGAGGCAGAGAAUUGGCUGUUUCCUUUGGAAGAGGCCUCUUGUGUUUAGAAAAGCAUGUUGCUUUGGUAUCAAAGAGGAGUGAAUUGCUUUUAGAUGAAUCAUUCUUUGUAUUUUUGAUCCAGUUUGGUGGGAGACUAGCCAGUGCUAAGUAGUGAGUGUUAACUAUGAAAAGGGGGAAUGGAAAGUUUUUGUGAAGCUCUGAUUGAAUGCACCUUAUCCAUUUUAUUUGCAGAUAAUUUAGAAACAAAAAAGGGAAUGGGUCAUUAUCUGUUAGUCGUGGUGGGCCAUUACAAUGGUGUGUCACGUCUUACUAGCUUCCUCUUCUUGGACGAAACUUAAAUUAAUUAGUUAAUUUAGGUAAACUUACGUGAAUAAUUACCUUAUUAUCUCUUUUACCAUUUAGCUACCUUUUGUGUAUUCACGUGUAUUUGAUAGUGUUUUCGCUGUAUUUGACUGCACAUGUUUAGUUGUAUCUGAUGUGACACGUAUUUGAAUUUUA